GACGUCACGGCGCACAGCCAAUGAGGAGGCGAGGAGCGCGUCCUGCCCGUGUUCGAAUUGCGCGGCGGAUGGCGGCUGGCGGGGGAGAAAAAGAGAGCGAGUGGGACGGAAAGGAUUCAGCUGUUGGAUCUGAGAGUGCUGGGAGUGGAGCUGGGGAGCAGAAGGGAUGACUCCAGCCAAGGAAGAAGAUGUCUGCAGCCAUGUCAGAGUGGUGGUCCGUGUGCGCCCAGAGAGCCAGAAGGAAAAGCAGGGCAGCUUCAGCAGGGUGGUCCGUGUCAUCGACCAGCACGUGCUGGUCUUUGAUCCAAAGGAGGGGGAAAGAGCCAGUUUUAAAGCCAUAAUGAUAGGGGAAACAGUACUGUCAAAGGAGGAAUAACAAAUGGAACAUUUGAUAUUUCUUUGCUUUACUUUGAGUUCUCUACAUUCAUACAGCCUGAAAGUCACACCUUGGCUUGACAUGUCUUCAAAACUGCAGGAACAAUUUUGUGAACCCCAACAUAUGAACUUGGUGUCUUCUGCAUACUUUGAAGGCUUUUCAUAUAUAUCUCCUUAUAAAUAUCUAUCUCAUGCAUUCAUCCAUUUUCCUCUUUUCCAGAGGAAGAAGUUCAUGUUUCUAUUCAGAUAAUAGAAGCCAGCACUCUAAAUUCAGGAAUAAAAGAGGAGCCAUAACAUAGAAUUAAAUACAUGCAGAUAGAUUUUUAAAAUAUUUGAAAGUUAUAAGGUGAUGAAAUACUAUAACUUUUUAAUGAUAAGGAUGUAAGUCUUUAGAAAAUGUAAAAAUUAAAGUUGUAAUUCUCUUUGACUUCAUAGAAAUCAUAAUCACAUAAUUUGUUGAGGCUUCCGAAUUCUUAAAGUUGCCUUAUUUUACAAGAAAAAGUUAUGAAUUUACCUCAUGGAAAUUGCAUUUAAUCGAAAUAGACUGACUCCUAAUUGCCCAUUGCAAGUGAGCACUAGAACUUGGAUUUAUUUUUGCAUAUUGCAAUCUAAAUACCGUAUUUUUUGUAUUACUUACUUUUAUAUAUUAUUAUGUAUUCUUAUAUCAUUAUAUG